UUUGUGAACACUCAUCGGCCAAUGAACCAGCUACAAAACCACCUAACAGUAACCUCAUCCUGCCCACAUUUUGCCAGCUUCUUCACACAAAUACCAUGGGGGACUCUGUCAAAAAGCCUUACUGAAAUCAAGAUACACUAUGUCCACAGCAUUCCACUGAAUUGGAGUUCAGUGAGGGAAAUAAAUCAGGGAAUGGGCAUUGGGUGAAGGCCUCCCCACCUAUACUCGGGUGUGAACAUCAGCAUAAAAAUGCAACUUGAAAUGCAACGGGUGCCCUCGCUGCAGUCCAAGCUGCUAAUGUGUACAUAGUCAAACUGUCUGAAGAAUCUCUUUCGAAGAGAAGCUCUGGAGAGAACAAUAUAAUGCAUUGUAGAACAAUCAUUUCCAAUCCUCUGACUGCAAAUGCACAAAUGCCAGCUUACAGGUAUUUUAGCAUAUCUCCCCUGUGGGCAUAGUUUGGAGUUUCAAAGCUGUAAAUGCUUUCCCCACCGCAUAAGCAGAUAAUUCAGAAAAGUAAUCUGAAAGACCAUAAUCGUAUUUCUGAGAAUAAUAAAAUGAUGAAAAUUGCAUCGCUUGAAGAUCACAUCUAGUUAGUAAGAGAUCCUACUCUUUAACCUUAUUUUUAAAUCACUGCUUUUGCUAUCGGAGUUGCAACCUUAAGGAGGUUGGGAAACGGUCCAUGCUGAGUUAAGAGGCUUUGACAUUUAUUAACCCAGCUUUGUGCACAUCUAUUAGCAAUUUGCUCCAAAUAGUGUUUUUUUGGGCAACUUUGUACCUUGCAUAUGCUGUAAUUUCCAACCAGUACAAAAGCAAGGCAGUAUAACUCUGGGCAAUAUAGAAGAAACCUCAAAUCUCAUCAUGGCACAUCAUGGCAAAAGCAGCCUCAAAUAAAUUUUGAAUAGUUUCUUGCUUGGCAACAUUAGUCCAGCCCCAAAAAGAGUGACGGUAGUGCUUUUUAUGAGUGGCUAAACAUGCUUUGGAAACUGAAAAGUGCUUUUAUUUUACACUUCUCAAAUGAUUACAUUGUUUCACAAGCUCUUCUUAUCAAUUAGGAACAUGCAAAAGAAGUGAUAAACUUCUGUUUGUGGAGGGACUUUUAUUUUAAAAUAUUUGAGUAGCUUUUUGACAGCAUCUAAAAUGAUUCACCAGCAACAAAGUAAAUCACAAAUCAGUAAGAGGUAUAGGAAGCCUAGGAAGCUAUUCCAGAGUUAGGGUGCCAUCACUGAAAAGGCCCCUUCCCCACUUAAUCUCCGAAAGAGGGAGGCCUUAGUGCACUGGGUUCUGCACUAGAUGUGCUGCUCUUCAGACUGUAUCACUUCAAGAAGAUUGAGGUUGCAUUUCCCCCCAUGUUGACAGGAGGGAGAGUUUUCUGAAUAGCAUGUGUUGAUAGCUGAUUUGGUUUUUGAGACAGGGCCAGCCCCUAACAUUGGGCAGAGUAAAGUGCCAUAAACUGGAGGGUGGGGAUGCCAAAAGCUAUAUGUACCCCAUGGCCUUCCCUGUGCCCUGUAAGGUAGUGUCUCCCUUAGGUAUGAUGGAUGGUGUCACUUCAACACCGCUAAUGGAAAAUUCAGCUGCCAGUCCAGAUGUGGAAUGGGAAAGGUGACAUCUGUCCCUUUGCCUCAGGUGGCAGAAUGUAUUUCUCUGAGGCCAAGUGUGUUGUGUAGGAGACCUUUCAAUACCACAUACACAUUUUCUUUCGGGUUACUUCUCACAAGAGAGGAAAGGCACUAACCCUUUGAGAAUAUUGAUGUAUUUUAGGAUUCAGGCAGGGUUUACGCUUGAGUUAUAAGGGUUUUAAAAAAUAAUAAUAAAAAAGCCAAGAAAAAUGGCAAUGGCGGUGACCCUGACCUAACCCGCUCUAGUAUCCCAGCUCACUCACUGAAGACACUUCAUGGAAUGCAUCUGUUCCCAAGAUCUUCCUUGUCCUUGUCCCUAUUUUUGUCGCUGCUCAGAAUAGAUAAUGUUCUGCUUCCUCAGUACUGCGAACUUGCUUGUCUGGCAAGAGGAUUCAAAUAUGGCAAGCUUUCCAUACUUUUAAAUUAGCUGUUGUUUGUUUUGUUUUUUAAGUUGAAAGUGGUUAUUUGAGAUGGGCCUAGCCAAUGUAUGCAGGCAAUUUCGGACAAGAUAUUAGAGUUACGACCUGUAAAUUAGAUUUAAGGGUGUGGGAGGGGGAAGAGCAAAAAUUGACUGGAAUGAAUGCUAGCAGGCAGGUUUUUAUUGGAGGCAGAUUGGGGUAUGUGGGAAAAUGCCUUUUUGACCAGGAAAGAUGAAAACAAAUGAAUAAACAAAACAAAUGCCUCAAAACCAAAUAGUACACAGUAGAUCAAAGGCACAGUCAUUUAGGAAUGCAAGUGAGUCCUUACCCAGCCUUUAAUGGAGAGAGAAGUGCUGGCUUGACAUUGGUCAGCGUGGGUUUCCCCCCAUCUUCUUUGAUGUUGUGCUUAGAGUGGAUUCAGCACUCCUAAGUCAUUCUAAAACCAUUCUUUAUUAUUAAGAUAUUGAGAAAUAUCCUCUUACUAGCCAACAUAUUUAAAGAUCUCAUUGAUCUGUACCAAGGGCAAAUGUGCCUACAUACACAUAGAGAGAAAUCACAAAUGCAUGGAAAUUAGAUCAGAAAGAUUAAAAUAUUUAAAAGCCAAGUAAAUAAAGGAAAAUAAAGUAUACAGGUAGACAUCAUGAUUUUGCUUCAUCUAUAAAUGUACUAAAUUUCUCUGUUAAGCUGUCUGUACACUGUGCAUCUAUUCUAAAAUAUGCAAGUUUAUUUAAAAAAGACCCCAAGUAUAAGUAUGAAGUAUGAGUAGUUCUGACCGAUUUCCAGUGAGCACCAAUGGACUGUCUAGUUGAGAUUAGCAAAUCUGUAAACAGUUCUAAGCACUUCUGAGGCUGGGUCUGUUAAAAAGUCACAUGAAGACAAGCCAUUCUUGACCCUUGUGUUUUGAGAACAGCAUUGUUUGCUUACAGGGUCCGCCAACCAUUCUGGGCCUAUGGGCACAUUUGUGCACUGGAGAAACAUUUGGGCAUACUUCACACACCACAAGCUACACUCAUUGGCUACAACAGAAUGUUUCUUUCAAUUUCAGUAGGGGGAGGUACCCUUUGGGUGCCAUGGAAGGCCUGCUGCAUGUUGCAAACCCUGUAUUAAAAGUAAUGUCUCUACCUCAGUCACAUGGUUUGGAACUUCAAACCUUAUAUGGUAGGAUUGCUACCUUGACACUGGAUGCAAAUCUUCCAUUUGUGGCUCUUUCCAACCACCUCAUCUCCUGGCCCUGUAGUUUUAUCAUUCCCACAACAGUAUGCAGAAGGUCCCUUCUUCAAUCCCUGGCAUCUCCAGUUACAAGGAUCAGUUAGUAGGUUUAUGGACCAAACAGUCAAACCUGGUAUAAGGCAGCUUCUGAUGCACCUACAGAAGUGAGGGGGAAUGUUGAGUAUCUGGUAGGGGGAGACCCAUAGCUAGCUGGGCGCAUGUGUCCACAAUGGCUCACAAGUGGCGUGCGUUGCCCUCUUUGGAAAUAUACCUCAUCAACUAAAAAUAUCUAAAGGGCAGACUCGAAUGACCUUUCAUCCCCUUUUCCUUUUUUGCUUUAUGGCAUGAUUUUAUUUCUUGUAAGUAUAUUGAGGCACAAGGUCUCUCAGUGUCACCAUAAUAUUCAAACACCUGGCUCGUCCAAGACUUAAUGGUACGUUUGCUCUCAAUAAUGAUGUCACUCACAGGUGGAGGAUACUUUUAUUUUUACAUAACUUUGUUACUUGUAAAGGGAAUGUUUCUAUGAAUCAGACUAUUUCUUCGGAGCUGCCCUGUACCUUUCUACUUUUGUCCUUCCAAUAAUUUUUUAUUCUUUGUUUUUCUUCUUUUUGUUAUGUUUACAUUUCUUAACAAAAUCAAUAAAAUGUUAAGUGG
rnacentral:lncRNA from 1 species